UACGGGGGGAGCAAGCGUUGUUCGGAUUUACUGGGCGUAAAGGGCGCGUAGGCGGCCUCCGCAAGUCAGUUGUGAAAUCUCCGAGCUUAACUCGGAAAGGUCAACUGAUACUGCGGGGCUAGAGUGCGGAAGGGGCAACUGGAAUUCUUGGUGUAGCGGUGAAAUGCGUAGAUAUCGAGAGGAACACCAGUGGCGCAAGCGGCUGACUGGCCGAGACCUGACGCUGAGACACGACGGCGUGGGGAGCAAACCGG
rnacentral:rRNA from 1 species